rnacentral:sRNA from 1 species
UAUUUGGUCCGAGAAAUCGAUUCUUCGAU